AGAACGGACGAGAAGCUUGCUUCUCUGAUGUUAGCGGCGGACGGGUGAGUAACACGUGGAUAACCUACCUAUAAGACUGGGAUAACUUCGGGAAACCGGAGCUAAUACCGGAUAAUAUUUUGAACCGCAUGGUUCAAAAGUGAAAGACGGUCUUGCUGUCACUUAUAGAUGGAUCCGCGCUGCAUUAGCUAGUUGGUAAGGUAACGGCUUACCAAGGCAACGAUGCAUAGCCGACCUGAGAGGGUGAUCGGCCACACUGGAACUGAGACACGGUCCAGACUCCUACGGGAGGCAGCAGUAGGGAAUCUUCCGCAAUGGGCGAAAGCCUGACGGAGCAACGCCGCGUGAGUGAUGAAGGUCUUCGGAUCGUAAAACUCUGUUAUUAGGGAAGAACAUAUGUGUAAGUAACUGUGCACAUCUUGACGGUACCUAAUCAGAAAGCCACGGCUAACUACGUGCCAGCAGCCGCGGKAAUACGUAGGUGGCAAGCGUUAUCCGGAAUUAUUGGGCGUAAAGCGCGCGUAGGCGGUUUUUUAAGUCUGAUGUGAAAGCCCACGGCUCAACCGUGGAGGGUCAUUGGAAACUGGAAAACUUGAGUGCAGAAGAGGAAAGUGGAAUUCCAUGUGUAGCGGUGAAAUGCGCAGAGAUAUGGAGGAACACCAGUGGCGAAGGCGACUUUCUGGUCUGUAACUGACGCUGAUGUGCGAAAGCGUGGGGAUCAAACAGGAUUAGAUACCCUGGUAGUCCACGCCGUAAACGAUGAGUGCUAAGUGUUAGGGGGUUUCCGCCCCUUAGUGCUGCAGCUAACGCAUUAAGCACUCCGCCUGGGGAGUACGACCGCAAGGUUGAAACUCAAAGGAAUUGACGGGGGACCCGCACAAGCGGUGGAGCAUGUGGUUUAAUUCGAAGCAACGCGAAGAACCUUACCAAAUCUUGACAUCCUUUUGACAACUCUAGAGAUAGAGCYUUCCCYCUUCGGGGGGACAAAGUGACAGGUGGUGCAUKGGUUUGUCGUCAGCUUCGUGGUCCGUGAGAUGUUGGGGAUUAAGGUCYCGGCAACGGAGCGCRAAKCCCUUUAGGCUAGUUUGGCCAAUCAUUAAGUUGGGGSCACCUYCUAAGAGUUGGARCA
rnacentral:rRNA from 1 species